rnacentral:rRNA from 1 species
UACGAAGGGGGCUAGCGUUGCUCGGAAUCACUGGGCGUAAAGCGCACGUAGGCGGCUUUUUAAGUCAGGGGUGAAAUCCCGGGGCUCAACCCCGGAACUGCCUUUGAUACUGGUAGUCUCGAGUCCGGAAGAGGUGAGUGGAAUUCCGAGUGUAGAGGUGAAAUUCGUAGAUAUUCGGAGGAACACCAGUGGCGAAGGCGGCUCACUGGUCCGGUACUGACGCUGAGGUGCGAAAGCGUGGGGAGCAAACAGG